AAAGUCGUAACAAGGUUUCCGUAGGUGAACCUGCGGAAGGAUCAUUACGAAUAGUGCCGGUGAGGCUCUCGGGCCGAGCCGGCGCCCCGACCCGUCGGGACACCCUGUUUAUGAGUACCAACCGUUUCCUCGGCGGGCCCGCCCGCCAGUGAGGACCUCUUCAAAACCUUGCAAUGAGCAGUCAGUCAGUAAUAACAUAAUUUGUCACAACUUUCAACAAUGGAUCUCUUGGCUCUG
rnacentral:misc_RNA from 1 species